AUACAGAGGGUGCAAACGUUGCUCGGAAUCAUUGGGCGUAAAGCGCGUGUAGGCGGUUUGGAAAGUCGGCCGUGAAAGCCCUCAGCUCAACUGAGGAAGUGCAGUCGAAACUAUCAGACUUGAAUAUCGAAGAGGUUGGCGGAAUGCGCAGUGUAGAGGUGAAAUUCGUAGAUAUUGCGUAGAACACCCGUGGCGAAGGCGGCCAACUGGGAGAAUAUUGACGCUGAGACGCGAAAGCGUGGGGAGCAAACAGGAUUAGAAACCCGAGUAGUCC
rnacentral:rRNA from 1 species